ACGCUCGACACCUACGGGGGCAGCAGUGGGGAAUAUUGCACAAUGGGGGAAACCCUGAUGCAGCGACGCCGCGUGAGUGAAGAAGUAUUUCGGUAUGUAAAGCUCUAUCAGCAGGGAAGAAGAUGACGGUACCUGAGUAAGAAGCCCCGGCUAACUACGUGUCAGCAGCCGCGGUAAUCUGAGCGGGCUGGCAAGGC
rnacentral:rRNA from 1 species